AAUAGAUACCCGGGUAGUCCACCCCGUAAACGUGGGAACUAGUUGUGGGGUCCUUUCCACGGAUUCCGUGACGCAGCUAACGCAUUAAGUUCCCCGCCUGGGGAGUACGGCCGCAAGGCUAAGACUCAAAGGAAUUGACGGGGACCCGCACAAGCGGCGGAGCAUGCGGAUUAAUUCGAUGCAACGCGAAGAACCUUACCAAGGCUUGACAUACACCAGAACACCCUAGAAAUAGGGGACUCUUUGGACACUGGUGAACAGGUGGUGCAUGGUUGUCGUCAGCUCGCGUCGUGAGAUGUUGGGUUAAGUCCCGCAACGAGCGCAACCCUCGUUCUAUGUUGCCAGCACGUAAUGGUGGGAACUCAUGGGAUACUGCCGGGGUCAACUCGGAGGAAGGUGGGGAUGACGUCAAAUCAUCAUGCCCCUUAUGUCUUGGGCUUCACGCAUGCUACAAUGGCCGGUACAAAGGGCUGCAAUACCGUGAGGUGGAGCGAAUCCCAAAAAGCCGGUCCCAGUUCGGAUUGAGGUCUGCAACUCGACCUCA
rnacentral:rRNA from 1 species